rnacentral:rRNA from 1 species
GACGAACGCUGGCGGCGUGCCUAAUACAUGCAAGUCGAACGAACUCUGGUAUUGAUUGGUGCUUGCAUCAUGAUUUACAUUUGAGUGAGUGGCGAACUGGUGAGUAACACGUGGGAAACCUGCCCAGAAGCGGGGGAUAACACCUGGAAACAGAUGCUAAUACCGCAUAACAACUUGGACCGCAUGGUCCGAGCUUGAAAGAUGGCUUCGGCUAUCACUUUUGGAUGGUCCCGCGGCGUAUUAGCUAGAUGGUGGGGUAACGGCUCACCAUGGCAAUGAUACGUAGCCGACCUGAGAGGGUAAUCGGCCACAUUGGGACUGAGACACGGCCCAAACUCCUACGGGAGGCAGCAGUAGGGAAUCUUCCACAAUGGACGAAAGUCUGAUGGAGCAACGCCGCGUGAGUGAAGGAGGGUUUCGGCUCGUAAAACUCUGUUGUUAAAGAAGAACAUAUCUGAGAGUAACUGUUCAGGUAUUGACGGUAUUUAACCAGAAAGCCACGGCUAACUACGUGCCAGCAGCCGCGGUAAUACGUAGGUGGCAAGCGUUGUCCGGAUUUAUUGGGCGUAAAGCGAGCGCAGGCGGUUUUUUAAGUCUGAUGUGAAAGCCUUCGGCUCAACCGAAGAAGUGCAUCGGAAACUGGGAAACUUGAGUGCAGAAGAGGACAGUGGAACUCCAUGUGUAGCGGUGAAAUGCGUAGAUAUAUGGAAGAACACCAGUGGCGAAGGCGGCUGUCUGGUCUGUAACUGACGCUGAGGCUCGAAAGUAUGGGUAGCAAACAGGAUUAGAUACCCUGGUAGUCCAUACCGUAAACGAUGAAUGCUAAGUGUUGGAGGGUUUCCGCCCUUCAGUGCUGCAGCUAACGCAUUAAGCAUUCCGCCUGGGGAGUACGGCCGCAAGGCUGAAACUCAAAGGAAUUGACGGGGGCCCGCACAAGCGGUGGAGCAUGUGGUUUAAUUCGAAGCUACGCGAAGAACCUUACCAGGUCUUGACAUACUAUGCAAAUCUAAGAGAUUAGACGUUCCCUUCGGGGACAUGGAUACAGGUGGUGCAUGGUUGUCGUCAGCUCGUGUCGUGAGAUGUUGGGUUAAGUCCCGCAACGAGCGCAACCCUUAUUAUCAGUUGCCAGCAUUAAGUUGGGCACUCUGGUGAGACUGCCGGUGACAAACCGGAGGAAGGUGGGGAUGACGUCAAAUCAUCAUGCCCCUUAUGACCUGGGCUACACACGUGCUACAAUGGAUGGUACAACGAGUUGCGAACUCGCGAGAGUAAGCUAAUCUCUUAAAGCCAUUCUCAGUUCGGAUUGUAGGCUGCAACUCGCCUACAUGAAGUCGGAAUCGCUAGUAAUCGCGGAUCAGCAUGCCGCGGUGAAUACGUUCCCGGGCCUUGUACACACCGCCCGUCACACCAUGAGAGUUUGUAACACCCAAAGUCGGUGGGGUAACCUUUUAGGAACCAGCCGCCUAAGGUGGGAUAGAUGAUUAGGGUG